GCAAACAUGUCUUUGGCUCCUGUUGCCCUCACUGCUCUGCUGCAGAACAAACUCAGUCUCUCUGACUGUGAGUCCCAGCAGAUCUCAGAUGUUUAAAGAUAAGUCUGUCUCUCUGAGCUGUGAGGACGACAGCUCUGCUGGAUGGACUCUGAGGAGGAACACAACCAGAGAAACCAGGACUCAGUGUGGAGAUGGCUGGGGAAAAACUGCUGGUUCUUCCUGUAAAAUCAGCUUCAUGAUUCCAGGGGACAGUGGAGUGUACUGGUG